UACGAAGGGGGCUAGCGUUGCUCGGAAUCACUGGGCGUAAAGCGCACGUAGGCGGAUCCUUAAGUCGGGGGUGAAAUCCUGGAGCUCAACUCCGGAACUGCCUUCGAUACUGAGGAUCUCGAGUCCGGGAGAGGUGAGUGGAACUGCGAGUGUAGAGGUGAAAUUCGUAGAUAUUCGCAAGAACACCAGUGGCGAAGGCGGCUCACUGGCCCGGUACUGACGCUGAGGUGCGAAAGCGUGGGGAGCAAACAGG
rnacentral:rRNA from 1 species